GACCACAAACCGGUGGGCUGCGCCUGCGCCAUUGGGCAUGCCGGCGGCGACGCAGGGACUGCUUGCGACCACGGUGGUGGACUGGAAGCUUGACGAGCUAUGCGCCUGCCUCGACGACGCGCUGUCGUCCAGGAAGCGGAGCCUCUACACGGAGGAGCGGCUCCGCGCGAUGAUCGACGCGAAGACCGACUUCGUCCGGUCGCUCCUGUCCUCCGUGGCGGAGUGCAACGGCGGGGCGCUCCCGGAGCACCUGGCCGAGGCCGAGGCACGCUUUGCUGUCCUCGCGGCCACGUACGAUCGUUGGGCGCGGCGCGCAGUCGCUGCACCUGAACCAUUGCCAGGAGACGACGGAGGAGGACGCCAAGCGCGACGCCGUGGAAGCCCGCGCCAACAAGGAGGGGGCGUUGGAUGGCAUCGCCGAGGAGUCGAGGACAACGACGCCGAGUGCGAGACCGCGGAAAUACGCAGGAGGGAGGCGGCGGAUACGGUUACCAAGAAGCGGGAGGCCGCGGGAACAAGCGAGGAGUUGAUGCGCGACAUCGAUCGAGAGGCCGCGGUGGAGGCGGGAAGGGGGGCCGUGCAGCGUCGCUGGUGGAGGAAGUGCGGCUGCGGUGCUUCCUGGUGCCGUGCGGCUGGCGUGGUGGUCGCGGUCUUGUUGGCUUUGGAAUUGGCCGCCGUGCAGUGCUGAGGUCCUCUUGAUCUCUUGUUUUGCUGUAAAACUUGCUUCGACAGUCAAGCUGUUGGCUACUUACAUUCUGAGAACCAUGUUUGGUUGUGAGGUUUAUUUUCAAAAAUUUUGUGCGUUUAUGUAACUCUAAAUUGCAGGUUCCUGACAACCUUUAUACUUCUAGAUACAGUAUUGUGUGCUAAAGAG